CAGAUCCAAUCGCCCUUGUCCCCCUUCACCUUGCUGUCGGCCUAACUCUCCCCCUCUCUUCUCCGCCCCACCCCACUCGCUCCACCUACCGCGUCCACAGAGCCAGAACCCCUCGCCCCGCCGUGUGCCCUCGUCGGCUCGGCCAUGUCCUCAUCGGCCCAUGGGUUCCCAUCGAGGAGAUCGAGGAUGCCGCGCGUUUUCCUUCUCCUCUUUCUCAUUGCGCUACCGCGUUCAAGUAGAAUGACCCGACGCCGACGCCAAGUGGUUAUGCUUGCAGGCCAGGGAGCGACGCCGACCGAGACGAGGAUGACGACACCGUGAUGGAGGUCGAUGGCGCUGAGGUCGAGGAGGCCGCCCAGGACAAGUCCGCUGCCAAGGCGCUCUGGACCAAGAUCAGCUCGGGCUCGGGUGCCAUGAGGGUGCUCGUGCUCCUGUGGCUGACCCCUCCUGGGGACCUCGACAAGGUUUGGGGCCAGGGAGAAGCUGCUCGAUCUGACAAGUUUGGAUGCCCUCCAUGCCGCCCUUGCCGAUGCACAGGUUGAAUGUAUCGAUGUCCAGCGUUGUUAGCACUCUCAAACUUGAGCGCGCUGUAACAAGUCUAACAAGUCGGUUGUUUUACUGUGAGAUAGAUUUGGAUUUUUCAUGUCUUAAACACGCAUGUAGUAGCAGUACACCGUUUGAUGCAGAUCGAUCAGGCUGCUACGCAUACGUGCAUGUGUGCUGGUCCGAGAUCCUGCCAUGCCAUCACUGACUAAACAGUACUCUGCAUGUUCCCUUUGUUAAAUGAAUGAACAUUGUCGAUGUGCCAACCAUGGGUGCUGCCGCAUCCGGCUUCCUGCCUGGCCAGGAGAACUACAUCAUCUAUAUUAUCAGCCAACUGAGGAAAUGAUUUCAUGGAUGAGCAACAGAGACUACACGAUGACAACUCCAGGCUCCUCCAAGAGGUCAAGGACAUGAGGAGGGAGCUGAUUAGUGGCAAGGACCUCGUUGCAGAGUCCUGCAGGGUGCUCGAAGAGAACGUGAAGGUCCACCAGGAGGUCAAGGACUCCCGCACCACCAUGAAGAAGAUGUAUCCCACAAUUCAUAUAUGCGGCUGUUAUCUGGGUUUCCUAUUUGUCGGUGCUUCAAGAAUCAAGAACUCUAAUUUUCUUGAUGUUGUUGUUAUUGGCUCGUUUCCACAAGUUGUAUCCUGCAACUCAUAUUCUGUAAUGAUGUCCAGCGUUUC